rnacentral:rRNA from 1 species
UACGGGGGGGGCAAGCGUUGUUCGGAUUCAUUGGGCGUAAAGGGUGCGUAGGCGGCGCGGUAAGUCGGGUGUGAAAUCUCGGAGCUUAACUCCGAAACUGCAUUCGAUACUGCCGUGCUUGAGGACUGGAGAGGAGACUGGAAUUUACGGUGUAGCGGUGAAAUGCGUAGAUAUCGUAAGGAAGACCAGUGGCGAAGGCGGGUCUCUGGACAGUUCCUGACGCUGAGGCACGAAAGCCAGGGGAGCAAACGGG